rnacentral:lncRNA from 1 species
CAUGGCCAAACCAUAUCAGGGCUGCUCUGUGGCAUUGUUGGUGCAUUAUAUACACACCCACCCAAGCACUCUUUCCUGAAGAAACACCAUGUCCACCUGGGAGUACAGAAGUGAACAGGGCAGAAUCCCUGAUCUUGAAAAGCAUUUAGUGUAAAUAUAUAAACCAACAACCACAAGAUGAACUAAUAGAUUAUGAUGCAAAAGGCACUGAAAACUUGCUCUGGGAGGAAAGAAGAGGGCAUAGGGAGACUUCCUUUCCUGAGAAGGUGACUUUUCAGCUGAAUUUGAAGGAGGAGCCAGAGGCGGGAGCUGGGAGAAGAGAGACUGUUAGGAGGCUGCUGAAAUAGUCCAGGCGAGAGAUCUUGAAGCCCUGAACGUCAAUAUGUGCGGCACGAAGAGGAAGAAUCGAAUCUGAGCCAUUUGGUAUUUGCAAUGGAAAGGACCUCCUAACAGGAGGGGUGAGAUGUGGGAGGAGGAUUUCCAGGCUUUUCAGUUGGCUUGUGACACUACCCAAGACAGGAAGAGAGAGUGAAGUGUCGUUUUGGGCAUGUUGUUUUGGAAAUGUGGGCGUGGAAUCUGGGAGAGAAAACUCUAAUGGAAUAUUUUUCUUAUGACACAUUCCCGUUAAGCCUUCAUUCCUCGGGUUUGGCUAAGGCCACCGUGGACAGAUUGGUGGGGGAAGUGCUGUUCUGAGAUCCUGGGUGUAGUCUUACAGUCCUAACAGCAAGGCAGCUUUCUUUCCCUGUCUCUGCGUGGGGAACAGAAUUUGUGCAGGCUCAAGUGUGCCUGGCAAGAAGGCCAAACUGAAAACACCUUCCACAGCUCUGGGGCCUAACGUUGAAUUUCCAUCUUCAGCCGCACGUUUUCCAGGUGAGCUUCUCAAGCAGGAUAAAUUCCUGCAGAAGCACAGAAAUCUCAGGAGUCCCAAGGUUCCUAGCAAAUUAGAAUCUUGAGGUAGGAGAGGAGCCAGGCCCCACCCCAGAAGCCCAGUAGGAACUGGCACCAAGAGAAAAUCGACAAUAAAAGCAAUUGGUGAUUUGUGCCAUCAGAAGAUAGGCUGGCCAGGACAGGUCAAGGAGAAUGAGACAAGUUACAGCAAAUUUUAAUACAAUUGCUCUGAUUCUAGGUAAUUUCAGGAUAGCAUAAUAGAAUUAUUUUACACUUGAAGAUACUUUGGGAUGCAUGAACAUAAAGCCUCUGCCAUUUGCACUGUUUCAUUUACUGAACACCAAUCCUAUUAGUUUGCUCUAUAUUACAGUUAUUAUCCCCAUUUUAUGGAUGCAGAAAGUGGAGGGCAGACAGGUUAAAUGAUCUCCCUCAAAUCGCCUACCGGGUAAGUGGCAUAUCUGGGAUUUGGAAGCAGCCUGUCUGACUCCAGAGGCUGCCCUCUUAGCCACAGGCUCCACCAGCACGUGUAUGUGACUGACACAUGUGGAUGGCACUUUGUACCGCCAAAAGUACUCUCUUAUAUUUAUGUCCUCCAAAUAGACAGAAACAGGGCCAAGAUGAAACCUUUAGCCCGAGAUGGCUUUUUACAGUGUCCUCUGGGGCUGGAAGGUAGACCCAGUAUCCGGUAUCCUGCAGUACCUUCCAGGCAUGAGCCUAAGAAACAACAUCAGAGUGAAGCACACUGGCUUCUGCUUCACACAGGACAUGCUUCAUAAAGCCUGCGCUUCCUAUAAGAUCACACCUUCCACCUCAGCCCCUAGUCCUGGGACCAGAGCCACCAAGAGGACCUAAAUCAAGUUAUUAAUUGGCUUUCAACCAUAAGGAAGAACUUUCUUGUAUGCCUUACUUAUUUAUAUCAGCAUGGACUCAUGAAUUCUUAUUCAGAAAACCUCAAUACUUAAUAAAAAAAGAUAUGUGUCAUUAAA